UACGUAGGGAGCAAGCGUUGUCCGGAAUCAUUGGGCGUAAAGCGCGCGUAGGUGGCCCAGUAAGUCCGUUCUGAAAGUCAAAGGCUCAACCUUUGAAUGUCAGCGGAUACUGCCGGGCUAGAGUCCGGAAGAGGCGAGUGGAAUUUCUGGUGUAGCGGUGGAAUGCGCAGAUAUCGAGAGGAACACCUGCGGCGAAGGCGGGUUGCUGGGCCGAUACUGACGCUGAGGCGCGAAAGCCAGGGAGCGAACGGG
rnacentral:rRNA from 1 species